rfam:Pongo abelii chromosome 19.
GCUCAGGCUGUGAUUUCAAGCCAGGGGGCGUUUUUCUGUAACUGGAUGAAAAGCACCUCCAGGGCUUGAAGCUCACAGUUUGAGA